rnacentral:rRNA from 1 species
CAGCAGCCACGGUAAUACGAAGGGUGCAAGCGUUAAUCGGAAUUACUGGGCGUAAAGCGUGCGUAGGUGGUUUGUUAAGUUGGAUGCGAAAUCCCCGGGCUCAACCUGGGAACUGCAUUCAAAACUGACUGACUAGAGUAUGGUAGAGGGUGGUGGAAUUUCCUGUGUAGCGGUGAAAUGCGUAGAUAUAGGAAGGAACACCAGUGGCGAAGGCGACCACCUGGACUAAUACUGACACUGAGGUGCGAAAGCGUGGGGAGCAAACAGGAUUAGAGACCCGAGUAGUCCCUGUCUCUUAUAC